UACAAAAGCCACAAAAGUUUAAUGUGCAAAUUCAAGAGCUCUCUUAACUUCUCUCUCUUCUCCAAUUAUUUUCUCUCACUUUCUUGGCCUUUAAUUUCUAACAUAUGUUAGGGAGAAAAAGGUAAAUAAAAAAAAUUAGAAUCAUGGCAUUACCCUCAAGAACAAUAUAAUGGCUAUGUUUGUAAAGAAUUUUAUGGCUAUGAAAUGCAAGAAAGUUCCAUUCUUGACAACAAUUAUGAGUACACUUCAUCUUGUAAUUAUUCAAUGAUGCAAAAUCAAGUGAAAUUAGGAGAUUGCAAUAUUAUUGAGGAGGAUAGUAAUAAUAUGCUAUUUUUGAAGAGUUCAUCACCAAAUUCAAAUUCUUUAAGAUGUUGCACGAAGAAAAGGAAAAUAAAGAUGAAAGAAUGAUACAUAUAGCUAUGAAGCGAAAUCAACGAAAACAAAUGAAUAAUUAUCUUACUCUCCUUCAAUCUUUGAUCUCAUCUUCACAUGUUCAAAGGGCAGACCAAGCAUCAAUAAUUGGAGGAGCCAUAAACUUUGUAAAAGAGCUAGAGCAUAAUCUCCAAACUCUACGAGCCAAAAAAAAUAUUAAUUUCUCAUAUCGAAAAAAAUAAUAUAUUAUUAUCGUCAUUUUUCACUGAUUUCUUCUCCUUCCCAAAAUAGUCGAAUUGUUCAAGUGAAUUAAGUAGAGGGUCAUGUCAACCUCAAAUACUCACAAAGAGAAGACCAAAACAACUCAUGAACAUAGUAGUUGGCCUUCAAUGCUUGUGGCUUACAAUUCUUCACCUUAAUGUCACUACUAUUCAUAACCAAAUUGUUCUUUGCUCCAUAAGUGCUAAGCUAGAGGAAGGGUGCCAAUUGACAACAAUAGAAGAAAUCUCUCAUGCUGUUAACCAAUUAUUGGGUAGAAUUCAAGAAGAGGAGGCUACUUCAAGUUCAAACUAAUUAUUUUUUCUCAAUAUAAUAGCUUUUGUUUAUUUAAUUUCUAUAUGUAUCAUCUUUUCUUUCUUUUUAAUCAUUUUUAUUAGUUUACUACUACCUUCUUAAUCAUUAUAAAUUUAUAAUUACUACCUUUCAUAGUCUCAAGGAGAAUGAUUAAAUUAUCUUGACAUAAAAUAAUUCUAGUGUGUGGCAAAUUGAUUUGAAAUUCUAGAUAGAUGUAGUCCAAAGUCCAAAUCCUUUCACUCAAGGGUGGAUAUAAAUAUUGAAAACUUAGAUCGAACUGAAUUUAU